GACGAACGCUGGCGGCGUGCUUAACACAUGCAAGUCGAACGGCAAGGCCCUGCUUUUGUGGGGUGCUCGAGUGGCGAACGGGUGAGUAACACGUGAGUAACCUGCCCUUGACUUUGGGAUAACUUCAGGAAACUGGGGCUAAUACCGGAUAGGAGCUCCUGCUGCAUGGUGGGGGGUGGAAAGUUUCGGCGGUUGGGGAUGGACUCGCGGCUUAUCAGCUUGUUGGUGGGGUAGUGGCUUACCAAGGGUUUGACGGGUAGGCGGCCUGAGAGGGUGACCGGCCACAUUGGGCCUGAGAUACGGCCCAGACUCGUACGGGAGGCAGCAGUGGGGAAUAUUGCACAAUGGGCGGAAGCCGGAGGCAGAAACGCCGCGGGUGGGAUGACGGCCUGCGGGGUGUGAACCGCUUUCGGCUGUGACGAAGCGUGAGUGACGGUAAUGGGUAAAGAAGCACCGGCUAACUACGUG
rnacentral:rRNA from 1 species